rnacentral:rRNA from 1 species
GUUGGUGUGGUUGUCGCUGGCCUUCUUGGAGGCAUGUGCACACCUACCAUCCUCAUCUCUCCACCUGUGCACCUCUUGUAGAUUUGGAAUUGAUUAUCCGAGGCAACUCGGUCGUGAGGAAUGCUAGCACUUAGCUGGCUUUCUUUGCAAUUCCAGGUCUAUGUUUUUCAUAUACCCCAUUGUAUGUAACAGAAUGUAUCAUUGGGCCUUGUGCCUAUAAACCUUAUACAACUUUCAGCAACGGAUCUCUUGGCUCUCGCAUCGAUGAAGAACGCAGCGAAAUGCGAUAAGUAAUGUGAAUUGCAGAAUUCAGUGAAUCAUCGAAUCUUUGAACGCACCUUGCGCUCCUUGGUAUUCCGAGGAGCAUGCCUGUUUGAGUGUCAUUAAAUUCUCAACCAUUAUCAACUUUUGCUGAUAAUGGCUUGGAUGUGGGGGUCUAUUUUGCUGGCUUCUCAGAUAGUCAGCUCCCCUUAAAUGCAUUAGCCGGUGCCCCGCGUGGACUGUCUAUUGGUGUGAUAAUUAUCUACGCUAUGGACAUCUGCAAUCAUAUGGGUGUGCACUGCUUCCAGCAGUCUGUUAAAGACAAUACAUGACAAUUUGACCUCAAAUCAGGUAGGAUUACCCGCUGAACUUAAGCAUAUCAAUAAGCGGAGGAAAAGAAACUAACAAGGAUUCCCCUAGUAACUGCGAGUGAAGCGGGAAAAGCUCAAAUUUAAAAUCUGGCGGUCUCUGGCCGUC